CCUGCUUUUCUCCCCCUCCCUUGUCAGCACAUCCCUUGAGGGGAUGUGCUGAACUUCCCACCCCACCCCCAGCAGCUUUGGGGUUGAAGCUGGGCCGUUGCCUGGACAACCCCAGUUCCCAGCCUUGCCUGGUCUCUGCAUCCAAAGACAAAGGAGCGGGAUGCUGGUCACCUGAAACAAUGCUCCCUCCACCCGAGGAGGAGCUGGGGACCGGCCCCGGCUGGGCUCCCGCUCCGUGGAGGGGGCAGUGGACAAAGGCUGGGGGGCCAUGGGGUGAGUGAAAGGACGGGCGCAGACUUCGGAUCAGAGUCUGGGCUCAACGUCCAGUCCAGCCAUCUAAUGGCCAAGUGACCUUGACAAGUUAUUGGACCUGUCUAUCCCUGUUUUCCUCUUUCAUUCGGGAACCAGGGUAUCUAGCUUGCAGAUUUGCUGUGACAGUUCGGUGAGAUGCUGAAUGUUGGUCCCCAGCACGUGAUUCUUGAUUCCUGAGCCUGUUACCCACAGCAGCAGCAGGAGCCUGUCACAGCAGCAGUGCCGGAAUCCCAUACCUGACCUCCGUCUCUGCACCUGGAGGAAGAGACAAGGUAAAGGCCUGGGUCUUGGGACUGUGCAGACAUGUGGGCCUGCAGAUAACGCUCCAUGAACACUCUGGCUGUUUACAAACCUGCUGACACAGUCUGGGAGCAGUUGCACGGUUCUGAGCAAGGUGCAGGCUUCAGUCUCUUCAUCUGCAAGCAGUGAGCUGGAGAGAGGAAGAGACAAGACCCUCAUAGGAGCGUGGAGAUGUGACCCAGAGCACCAGCGUCCCCUCUGUGAAGCGGACACAGCAGCAGUGGGGGAAAAUGUAAACUUUCUCCACACACAAAGGGUGUCCAAUUGACAGAAGUUUAUAUAUGAAGGACGUCCUUCUGUUGCUGAAAAUUACUCAGUGUGCUUGUGCUGGCUGAAGGCAGCCCCAGCAGGAUGCUGCAGUGAAAUUUUGAAGUGAAUUCUGGUGCCUGGGACCAGCCCAGCAUGGACCAGGAGGCAUGUUGGAGAGGAAUCAGCCCUCCCUGCCCCCACCCGGCAGUUGUACCUGGCUCAGGAACGUUUGAAAACAAGUUGCCAAGUCCCCUGUUCCUGAUCCCCAGCCCCAAUCCCAGGCCAAGAAAUGUUUACCAGAAGGAUUGGGACCACGCCACGUGCCUGGGGAUACCACGAGUCCCUGCUGCCCGGUGAUCCUGAUGCGUCCUGCUCACUAGACUGCCGGUUGCCAAGGUAAUAUUUUGUUGAGGAUUUUCACAUCAAUAUUCAUCAAAGAUAUUGGCCUGUGAUUUGUU